rnacentral:rRNA from 1 species
GUCGCACCUACCGAUUGGAUGGUCCGGUGAAGCCUCGGGAUUGUAACUGGUGCCUUCAUUGGUGCUGGUUAUAAGAACUUGUCUAAACCUUACCAUUUAGAGGAAGGUG